GACGAACGCUGGCGGCGUGCUUAACACAUGCAAGUCGAACGGAAAGGCCCUGCUUUUGUGGGGUGCUCGAGUGGCGAACGGGUGAGUAACACGUGAGUAACCUGCCCUUGACUUUGGGAUAACUUCAGGAAACUGGGGCUAAUACCGGAUAGGAGCUCCUUCUGCAUGGUGGGGGUUGGAAAGUUUCGGCGGUUGGGGAUGGACUCGCGGCUUAUCAGCUUGUUGGUGGGGUAGUGGCCUACCAAGGCUUUGACGGGUAGCCGGCCUGAGAGGGUGACCGGCCACAUUGGGACUGAGAUACGGCCCAGACUCCUACGGGAGGCAGCAGUGGGGAAUAUUGCACAAUGGGCGGAAGCCUGAUGCAGCAACGCCGCGUGCGGGAUGACGGCCUUCGGGUUGUAAACCGCUUUCGCCUGUGACGAAGCGUGAGUGACGGUAAUGGGUAAAGAAGCACCGGCUAACUACGUG
rnacentral:rRNA from 1 species